CGUAGCUCAGCUGGAUAGAGUACUCGGCUACGAACCGAGCGGACGGAGGUUCGAAUCCUCCCG
rnacentral:tRNA from 1 species